UACGUAGGGUGCGAGCGUUAAUCGGAAUUACUGGGCGUAAAGCGUGCGCAGGCGGUUUUGUAAGUCAGAUGUGAAAUCCCCGGGCUUAACCUGGGAACUGCGUUUGAAACUACAAGGCUAGAGUGUGGCAGAGGGGGGUGGAAUUCCACGUGUAGCAGUGAAAUGCGUAGAGAUGUGGAGGAACACCGAUGGCGAAGGCAGCCCCCUGGGUUAACACUGACGCUCAGGCACGAAAGCAUGGGGAGCAAACAGG
rnacentral:rRNA from 1 species